AAAAAAGAGAGAGAGAGAGAGAGAGAGAGAGAGAGAGAGAGAUUUUUGAUUUUUUUUUUACCGUUAGUUUCUUUUACUAAUGUAAUCAUGAUUAAAAAUCAUCAUCAGGUUCUGUGAUUAAAUUGGACAAGCAAUAAUGAUAUACGACGAACAUGGGAUAGUUACGUUUUUAGGAGACUCCAUACGUGUUUUCAUUAUUAUAAUAAUU
rnacentral:lncRNA from 1 species